rnacentral:rRNA from 1 species
AUGUUCAAGAAGUUCUCUUCCGAGGACAUAUCCGGGCAGAAUCAGGUCAAGGCGUCUGUGCAGCGGAGGAUCCGGCAAAGCAUCGCCGAGGAGUACCCUCUCCUCGAACCAUUGCUGGAGGACAUGCUUCCGAAGAAGUCGCCGAUGAUUGUUGUUAAAUGCCAAAAUCAUCUCAAUCUUGUGGUGGUGAACAAUGUCCCACUCUUCUUCAACAUCCGCGAUGGUCCAUACAUGCCAACCCUGCGCCUUCUUCAUCAGUAUCCUAACAUCAUGAAGAAGUUCCAAGUGGACAGAGGUGCUAUCAAGUUUGUUCUCUCUGGUGCCAACAUAAUGUGCCCUGGACUCACAUCGCCUGGUGGUGUGUUGGACAAUGAAGUCGAGGAGGAAACGCCAGUGGCUAUAAUGGCUGAAGGCAAGCAACACGCAUUGGCGAUUGGAUUCACAAAGAUGUCAGCGAAAGACAUAAGCACCAUCAACAAAGGAAUUGGAGUUGACAACAUGCACUAUUUGAAUGAUGGCCUGUGGAAGAUGGAGCGGCUUGAGUAG